UGCCCAGCAACUCCUAUCCCUACCUUCUCGUGGUACUGGCCGGGGUACGAGUAACCUUUGGGGAAGAUCGGGUAACCAACCCCCGGUGGGAACUUUGGUCGUAUGCUGACAGGGAAGG
rnacentral:ribozyme from 1 species